CCGACAAAGGAUAAGGCUAUAAUCAGAUAAAAAUUAUUCGCAAAUAAUCAUAUCUUUCCAAAAUACAGUAAUGUAUUGCAAAAUAUACCCAGUUUAUCAAUUUGAAACAUAUAGCUCUAUGGAAACGCGUGAUGCUUAGACUUACCCGUCGACUGGCCACAAACAUGCCAGCUCCCAAAGGAGCAAACACUAUGCCUAAUAAGAAUAAUAACGGCAAGACUGUCCAUGGUGUGAAUAUAAACUGCCAAGCAGGAAGUGUUUGCUGAACAAACCGAGAUUUGUCACUACAUACGGAUCAGUAAACCAAUUUGCCAAAAAACGAAUGUAAUCAAGACAACUUACGGGCGCUUAAAUCUCUUAUGCUUUGGUUUUUUAACUAUUUCUGUUUGACUCAUAGUAUAUAAUCAGGCAUUCAACAAUGCUUACGAAUAUGAAGAAUGCAAGAUUAACUUGGUCCUUGGUAAAAGUGCGAGACUGCGCAAAACUCCAUCAUCACCUUACUCUCUCGCUGUCACUUGGGU